UACGUAGGGCGCAAGCGUUGUCCGGAUUCACUGGGUGUAAAGGGUGCGCAGGCGGACUGGCAAGUCAGGGGUGAAAUCUCACAGCUUAGCUGUGAAACUGCCUUUGAUACUUCCAAUCUUGAGUUAAAGAGAGGUUGAUGGAAUUUCAGGUGUAGCGGUGAAAUGCGUAGAUAUCUGAAAGAGCACCAGUGGCGAAGGCGGUCAACUGGCUUUUAACUGACGCUCAGGCACGAAAGCGUGGGUAGCGAACAGG
rnacentral:rRNA from 1 species